UUGAACCACAUUGAAGAGUACUUCGCAAACUUUUCAGCAAUGGGAGGUUUUCUUGCUAAUCAUUCUUUAAUUUCUUCGCUAAUUAAUAUGACAGUAUCAUAUGUCAUUGUUAUAAUCCAAAAGUACCAAACAAAUUGAAUGGAGAAGUAUUACAAAAUAUACUAUGCUACAGUUAUCUACCUGGUGUCCCCAACUUGAUGUUUACGCCGGCUGAUAAUUUUCUUUCCUGUUUAGUCGGUCGUGCGCGGUGGUGUCGUGACCACGUGUUUUGUUUGUGAGUCUCUCUUCAUAGUUAUUAAUUGCGUGUCUUGAAGUUUUAAUGUGAUAAUGCGGGCGAACGCCAUAACGCAGGAUAACGGUUCUCUCCCCAAAUUCGGGCGAACGCCAUGUCGGAGGACAACCGUUCUUUUACCAAAUUGUAGCGGGCGAACGCCAUGUCGGAGGACAACCGUUCUUUUACUAAAUUCGGGCGAACGCCAUAUUGCAGGACAACCCCUUUUUCACCAAAUUGUAGCGGGCGAACGCCAUAUCGGAAGACAACCCUUCUGUCACCAAAUUCGGGCGCACGCCGUGUCUGAGAACAACCGUUCUUGCACAAAAAUGGAUUUUGCACCUGAGUCUGACAUCGUAGAAAGACCAUUCGGGUAUCAGAUUGUAAGUACUUAGUUCCUUUAUCAUUUUCCUAAAUAACUUUUAUGAUUAUCGUACAAAUUGACCCCCAAAAUUGCAUUUUUAUGUUCGAAGAACUAAUUUUUUAUGGUUUUAUGAACUUUGCACCUGAGUCUGACAUCGUAGAAGGACCAUUCUGGUAUCAGAUUGUAGGAAUUUUGCACCUGAGUCUGACAUCGUAGAAGGACCAUUCUGGUAUCUGAUUGUAGGAAUUUUGCACCAGAGUCUGACAUCGUAGAAGGACCAUUCUGAUAUCAGAUUGGAUUUUGCACUUGACUCUAGAAGGACCAUUCUUGCAUCAGAUUGUUAGUAUUAAAUUUCAUUAUCUUAAAUAACUUUUGUGAUUAUUACAUAAAAUGUUUCCCAAAUUGUAUGCUUGUGUGUUUUCUUUAUUAAAGAAUAUUUUUAAGUUU